rnacentral:rRNA from 1 species
UCCUGGCGUACAGAACGAACGCUGGCGGCAUGCCUAACACAUGCAAGUCGAACGAGACCUUCGGGUCUAGUGGCGCACGGGUGCGUAACGCGUGGGAAUCUGCCCUUGGGUUCGGAAUAACAGUUAGAAAUGACUGCUAAUACCGGAUAAUGUCUUCGGACCAAAGAUUUAUCGCCCAGGGAUGAGCCCGCGUAGGAUUAGCUAGUUGGUGAGGUAAAGGCUCACCAAGGCGACGAUCCUUAGCUGGUCUGAGAGGAUGAUCAGCCACACUGGGACUGAGACACGGCCCAGACUCCUACGGGAGGCAGCAGUGGGGAAUAUUGGACAAUGGGCGAAAGCCUGAUCCAGCAAUGCCGCGUGAGUGAUGAAGGCCUUAGGGUUGUAAAGCUCUUUUACCCGGGAUGAUAAUGACAGUACCGGGAGAAUAAGCCCCGGCUAACUCCGUG